rnacentral:rRNA from 1 species
CCUACCUUGUACUGGGGGACAACAGUUAGAAAUGACUGCUAAUACCGCAUAAGACCACAGUUUCGCAUGAAACAGGGGUAAAAACUCCGGUGGUACAAGAUGGACCCGCGUCUGAUUAGCUAGUUGGUGGGGUAACGGCCUACCAAGGCGACGAUCAGUAGCCGGCCUGAGAGGGUGAACGGCCACAUUGGGACUGAGACACGGCCCAAACUCCUACGGGAGGCAGCAGUGGGGAAUAUUGCACAAUGGGCGAAAGCCUGAUGCAGCGACGCCGCGUGAGUGAAGAAGUAUUUCGGUAUGUAAAGCUCUAUCAGCAGGGAAGAAAAUGACGGUACCUGACUAAGAAGCCCCGGCUAACUACGUGCCAGCAGCCGCGGUAAUACGUAGGGGGCAAGCGUUAUCCGGAUUUACUGGGUGUAAAGGGAGCGUAGACGGCUGUGUAAGUCUGAAGUGAAAGCCCGGGGCUCAACCCCGGGACUGCUUUGGAAACUAUGCAGCUGGAGUAUCGGAGAGGCAAGUGGAAUUCCCAGUGUAGCGGUGAAAUGCGUAGAUAUUGGGAGGAACACCAGUGGCGAAGGCGGCUUGCUGGACGAUGACUGACGUUGAGGCUCGAAAGCGUGGGGAGCAAACAGGAUUAAAUACCCUGGUAGUCCACGCCGUAAACGAUGACUACUA